rnacentral:lncRNA from 1 species
UGGACCCCCAGCUUCUUGCUUGUCUUCUCCGAAGGUCAUGACUACCGUUGAUAGGCCAAUGAUCAGAGAAAAUUCAAAGAAAGGGGCGGUUCUCUAUUUUUUUGAAGUUGUAUGGUUUCUUUUGUUAGCCGACCGCUUGCCGCCGGCCCUCCUUUACUCCACCGCCGUCGGUCACUUGCUAUCAUGGUUUGCUGGCGGUCUUCCGACCAAGAACCACCACCCAUAUCCCUCCUUUGCUUAGCCAAGAAAAAGAAGAAGAAAAGAAAAGAAGAAGAGAAGAAAAGUAAAGAAAAGAAAAAGGAAAGAAAGAGAAGGGAUCUCUCUCUUGUCUCUCUCUCUUCUAUAGGAUUUUUCUCUUUGCACCAUCUUUCUCUCUUUACUUGAUCCAUGAACCCCAAUAUAAACUCAAAAUAAUUUUUAUAAAG